CAGCCGCGGUAAUACGUAGGUGGCAAGCGUUGUCCGGAAUUAUUGGCGUAAAGGGCUCGCAGGCGGUUUCUUAAGUCUGAUGUGAAAGCCCCCGGCUCAACCGGGGAGGGUCAUUGGAAACUGGGAAACUUGAGUGCAGAAGAGGAGAGUGGAACUCCACGUGUAGCGGUGAAAUGCGUAGAGAUGUGGAGGAACACCAGUGGCGAAGGCGACUCUCUGGUCUGUAACUGACGCUGAGGAGCGAAAGCGUGGGGAGCGAGCAGGAUUAGAUACCCCAGUAGUCCCUGUCUCUUAUACACAU
rnacentral:rRNA from 1 species